rnacentral:tRNA from 1 species
GCCUCCUUAGCUUAAUGGUAAAGUAGUCGGUUUAUGCCCGAUCAAAGCGCAGCCUAGAUAAGACUGUGUUGUAGGUUCGAGUCCUACAGGAGGCA